AACGAACGCUGGCGGCAUGCCUAACACAUGCAAGUCGAACGAAACCUUCGGGUCUAGUGGCGCACGGGUGCGUAACGCGUGGGAACCUGCCCUUAGGUUCGGAAUAACUCCCCGAAAGGGGUGCUAAUACCGGAUAAUGUCUUCGGACCAAAGAUUUAUCGCCUUUGGAUGGGCACGCGUUGGAUUAGCUAGUUGGUAGGGUAAAAGCCUACCAAGGCGACGAUCAAUAGCUGGUCUGAGAGGAUGAUCAGCAACUCUGGGACUGAGACACGGCCCAGACUCCUACGGGAGGCAGCAGUGGGGAAUAUUGGACAAUGGGCGAAGGCCUGAUCCAGCAAUGCCGCGUGAGUGAUGAAGGCCUUAGGGUUGUAAAGCUCUUUUACCCGGGAUGAUAAUGACAGUACCGGGAGAAUAAGCUCCGGCUAACUCCGUG
rnacentral:rRNA from 1 species